rnacentral:rRNA from 1 species
GAUGAACGCUGGCGGCGUGCCUAAUACAUGCAAGUCGAGCGAACAGAUGAGGAGCUUGCUCCUCUGACGUUAGCGGCGGACGGGUGAGUAACACGUGGAUAACCUACCUAUAAGACUGGGAUAACUUCGGGAAACCGGAGCUAAUACCGGAUAAUAUAUUGAACCGCAUGGUUCAAUAGUGAAAGACGGUUUUGCUGUCACUUAUAGAUGGAUCCGCGCCGCAUUAGCUAGUUGGUAAGGUAACGGCUUACCAAGGCAACGAUGCAGAGCCGACCUGUGAGGGUGAGAGGCCGAAGUGGGACUGAGACACGGCCCAAAAGCAGACGGGAGGCAGCAGUAGGGAAUCGUGGGCAAUGGAAGAAAGUCUGAACGAGCAACGCAGCGUGAGUGAAGAAGGUUGUCGGAUCGUAAAAAUCUGUUGGGAGAGAAGAACGUGGGUGAGAGUGGAAAGCGCAUCAAGUGACGGUAACGACCCAGAAAGGGACGGCUAACUACGUG